rnacentral:lncRNA from 1 species
CAUUCAAGUUUAAAUAUGUACCAAAUUUAAAACAAAAACAAAACACCACAAUUCUAAUUUUGUUUUUACUUUUCAUUAUUUGGAUUGCAAAUCCAAAGUACAGACGGGCUGUGUUUACUGUCAGCCAACCUUUUUUCUUCUUCACUUUACGCCUCCUUCAUUUUAGACCUCUUUGCUGUCAAACACGCAUAUAUGUUACUCUUUUAUCCUUUUUGUCUUGUUAAGAUUCCUGUUAUAAACCAGUUAUUUCACUAAUUUGAUUUACUUUGUAACUUAAUAAAGAGAUUACUUGUAACACAUAGAAAGCCAGAAAAAAAUUAUUUCCUAAAAUCAUACUUUGCUUAAAAUUGUUAAAAAAAAACAAUCUAAAAUCCAAUUAAUUUUUGUUGAGUAACAAUGCACCCAUGAAGACAUGUUGAGUAACAAUCCAAUUAGAACUCGUAUUUAUCUAAUGAAUGGAAACAUUAGCCAUUUCCCCUAUAAAUUGAGACAAACAUAAAUGAAGAAGAGAGGAUUUUGGAGGCAGCUUUGAGUAUUAACAAAACUAAAAAAAAUAGAGAGAAAUAGAGUGUUUCACCGCCAUUCCAACUCCACACAACCGUGCACCGUCUCUGUCUUCAUCACGUGAAGCACCGUCGCUCUUCCAUAUCUAUUUUUCUUCAUUAUGUUCAAACUUUAUAUUUGAUUAUUUAUUUGAGAGAUGAAAUCUUUUUAUGUAUAUGAAUGUUGUUUUGGUUGAUAUAAUGUGUAUCUGAAACAAAAUUUUUAUGGUAUUUGAAAAGUUUUUUUUUUCUUUGAUUUAAACCUUUU